CCUAUGGGUGGCUGCAGUGGGGGAUAUUGGACAAUGGGGGAAACCCUGAUCCAGCGACGCCGCGUGAGUGAAGAAGUAUUUCGGUAUGUAAAGCUCUGUCAGCAGGGAAGAAAGACAUGACGGUACCUGACCACGAAGCCCCGGCUAACUACGUGCCAGCAGCCGCGGUAAUACGUAGGGGGCAAGCGUUAUCCGGAAUUACUGGGUGUAAAGGGAGCGUAGACGGUGAUGCAAGUCUGGAGUGAAAGGCGGGGGCCCAACCCCCGGACUGCUCUGGAAACUGUGUAACUUGAGUGCAGGAGAGGUAAGCGGAAUGCCUAGUGUAGCGGUGAAAUGCGUAGAUAUUAGGAGGAACACCAGUGGCGAAGGCGGCUUACUGGACUGUAACUGACGUUGAGGCUCGAAAGCGUGGGGAGCAAACAGGAUUAGAUACCCUUGUAGUC
rnacentral:rRNA from 1 species